UUCAAUGGCACCAUGUGGUGAUCGAUGCAGUUUUGACUAGAUCUACGAUAAGUGCGCACUUGAUCAAGAAUUUAAUAUCAUUUUUGCGACAUUUUGUCGAACAAAUAUUUGGCCAAAUGAUCUCUCAAAUGUUAAUUCUUGUGGUAGUUCCAUUUCUGUAGAUUCAGUUAAAAGUUCAUCGAGUGUAGACAGGAUGGUCUUGAAGAAGUUUUCAGCAUAGCCAAAAGAUAUGUGAGACGACGGCAUUUAACUUCUAUUGUUUCGUUUCGAUUUGGUUUGUAGUGCACGGUCAGUUAAUUCAUAGGAACUGGACCCUCUUUUCGAGGUUAUGAUACACGGAACAUACUGAGGACCUAAUUUGGCAUUGAAGGCCUUGCUUGCAGCUGACUGUCCAAACGUCCGUUUGAAUACUCGCUGUCCGAUGUCGAAUGAUGUACUUUUUCUAGUUGACUACGCGACGAGACUACAUUAAGUCCGCGAAUACGCAACUCGUAUUCCAACUCAUCCACCAUUAGAUGAGAAGGAUCCAUCGACUGAUACUGCGCUAAAAACAAAGGUAUCUCCAUUGCGAUGAUUUGGGUUUGAUCUCGGAAGGUAAAAUUUAUCAAAAUAAAAACACGACAAAAUUAUAA